AUUGAACGCUGGCGGCAUGCCUUACACAUGCAAGUCGAACGGUAACAGGUCUUCGGAUGCUGACGAGUGGCGAACGGGUGAGUAAUACAUCGGAACGUGCCUAGUAGUGGGGGAUAACUACUCGAAAGAGUGGCUAAUACCGCAUGAGAUCUACGGAUGAAAGCAGGGGAUCGCAAGACCUUGUGCUACUAGAGCGGCCGAUGGCAGAUUAGGUAGUUGGUGGGAUAAAAGCUUACCAAGCCGACGAUCUGUAGCUGGUCUGAGAGGACGAUCCGCCACACUGGGACUGUGACACGGCCCAGACUCCAACGGGAGGCAGCAGUGGGGAAUUUUGGACAAUGGGCGAAAGCCUGAUCCAGCAAUGCCGUGUGCAGGAUGAAGGCCUUCGGGUUGUAAACUGCUUUUGUACGGAACGAAAAGCCCCGGGUUAAUACCCUGGGGUCAUGACGGUACCGUAAGAAUAAGCACCGGCUAACUACGUGCCAGCCGCCGCCGUAA
rnacentral:rRNA from 1 species